UCCACAGGCAUGCAAAAUAUUCUAAACAUAAUAUUAAUACAUUACAGUAGAACUAAUAAUAAAUUAAAUCCAAAAUUUAACUAACUAAACUUAACUUUAAUCUCUUAUAAAAAUUUAAUAAUAUUCAAAAGAUUUUACAUUAGUUAUGUCUCAAAUAAUAAUUCUAUAAAAUAUAAUAAUAAAUUUAUAUCUAAACUUGAUUGAUACUAUCAACUCUUGCCUCUAAAUUUAUUUUCAAAGCAGUACCUAUAUCUGUAAUUAAGAAUUUGAAUCUAAAAAGGAAGGAGAGAUAGUGAGUUCGAUAGUUUGGUAAGUUUAAAUGUUAUCAUAAGAUAUGAUGUUUGAAAAUAAAUACCAUAAAUUAAUAUUAAAAUAUAUUUUAUGCUAAUUUAAGCAAAUCAAAUAUUUUAAAUAUUUAUAUAUAUACACAAUCAUAAAUUUGAUUUGAAUUAAAUAAUAUAUAAUUUAACAGUGUUGAUUAUGAUCAUAUUUAUAUCCUGUGGUGGAACCAGAAUAGAACAUAGUGAGCUCAAUUAGAGUGCCAAUACAUAACCCUCAUUGGUAGGGUCUAAAGAAUCAUUGCAUAACUCUUUUAGUAGGGUUCAAAGAACCAAUGCACAACCCCAUUGGCAUGGGCUAAAACAUAGUUAGACUGAAAGCUCAAAUUUGAUGAAUACAAAAAUAUCUUUCUACAAGAUAACACACACACAU
rnacentral:lncRNA from 1 species